GUCCCUUUUGAUUUUUAUUUAAGGUCUGAUCUGCUCACUGAUGGUAUGUUUAAGAGCCGCGGUAAUUUGACCGUGCAAAGGUAGCGUGAUAAUUAGUUUUUUAAUUGAAAGCUGGAAUGAAUGAUUUGACGAGAAAAUAGCUGUCUCUUAUUAAUAAAUAAAAUUUUAUGUUUAAGUAAAAAAUCUUAGAUAAUUUCAAGGGACGAGAAGACCCUAUAGAGUUUAAUAUAUAAAUAUUAUUUAUUAAUUUAUGAAUUUAAAUUUAAUUAUUAUUAAUGUAUUUGAUUGGGGUGAUUGAAAGAUUAGAUAAACUCUUUAUUUAUUUUACAUUGAUUAUUGGUUUAUUGAUCUAUAUAAAUAAUAGAAAGAUUAAAUUACCUUAGGGAUAACAGCGUAAUUUUUUAUUAAGUUCAUAUUAUUAUAAAGGAUUGCGACCUCGAUGUUGGAUUAAAAUUUAAGUUAGGUGUAGGUGCUUAAUAUUUGAGUCUGUUCGACUUUUAAAAUUUUACA
rnacentral:rRNA from 2 species